rnacentral:rRNA from 1 species
UACGUAGGGUGCAAGCGUUUGUCCGGAAUUAUUGGGCGUAAAGAGCUCGUAGGUGGCCUGUCGCGUCGGCUGUGAAAACUCGGGGCUCAACUCCGAGCUUGCAGUCGAUACGGGCAGGCUAGAGUUCGGCAGGGGGAGACUGGAAUUCCUGGUGUAGCGGUGAAAUGCGCAGAUAUCAGGAGGAACACCGGUGGCGAGGGCGGGUCUCUGGGCCGAUACUGACACUGAGGAGCGAAAGCGUGGGGAGCGAACAGG